rnacentral:rRNA from 1 species
CAGCAGCCGCGGUAAUACGUAGGCGGCAAGCGUUGUCCGGAAUUAUUGGGCGUAAAGGGCUCGCAGGCGGUUUCUUAAGUCUGAUGCGAAAGCCCCCGGCUCAACCGGGGAGGGUCAUUGGAAACUGGGAAACUUGGGUGCAGAAGAGGAGAGUGGAAUUCCACGUGUAGCGGUGAAAUGCGUAGAGAUGUGGAGGAACACCAGCGCGAAGGCGACUCUCUGGUCUGUAACUGACGCUGAGGAGCGAAAGCGUGGGGAGCGAACAGGAUUAGAUACCCCUGUAGUCCCUGUCUCUUAUACA